CUAAGUGUGUGUGAAUUUCAGACUUUCACCCAGGAGAAGUAAAGGCACUCAGCCUAACACCUGAGGGGGUGUGCUCAGAGAGAUGGGAAAGGAGACAGAGGAGCAGCUAGCCCUGUAACCAUGACGGUGUUGAUGACACAGUCUUCUGUAGCAGAAGAAAUAUAAUCCUGAACUCUGAUCUUGGCUGCUUAAGUGAAAGACAUGAAGCAUUAAGACUGAAUUGAGGUUAUUUUGAGAUCGUCCGAUUCCCUGCUAGAAGUUACUGUGAGAGAUCAUCGCCCUGAACAACUUCACACAGAAUGGUCUGAAAGGUUUUUAUUUGGUGAUGGCAUGUUCAAGAACUUGGAUCAAUACAUUGUAUUUAAUGUUAGGAGAUGUUUCUAAGUUUUCAUAUUUAUAAAAGUGACUUUCAAUCUAGAGCGUCACAGUGUGCUUUCAAACUGUCUCUACAUAGUCACAACACUGCACAGAUGCACAACAAAUGCAGCCACCUCUGGGGUGGGAGGGCAACCAGGAACUACCAUGUUGACCUAAGGGGGGCUUUUGGUCAAGGACCCAGGGGCAAACUUGAGUCUUGCCAGUUGUGCCAUGCGAUGUGUUAACAGCCAUGCAGAGCAGACAGGACCUCUUUUAUUUUACCAUCUCAUCCCAAAAACAGACACACAGUAAAUGGACUGGUUCAUAGUUUAUCUGUCUCAGAAACAGGAAGAGCCGAGUCACCACGGCCCUGCACCAGUUUAGUAUGAGCUCCAGGUUUAGCGAAAGCUCCAGUAUGAAUUGAGUGAAAUUAAACAAAAGAGAAGCUUAUGCUCCACCUUACAAGCCCAGGCCAGGUUGGGAUGUGUAGGGGCUCUAUACUCACUCACAGCAGUAAAGUCAGCCACUAGAAACUUCGGGUGGAAUUCCAGCCCUGUGGAAGUCAAUGGGAGUUUUGCCAUUGAUUUCAGUAGGGCAGGAUUUCAUGCCUCCAGUCCACAAGCUUUUAAGCAUGUUGCACGUUAACCUCACGUUUAAGACCAUCCCUAUUCAGCAAAGCACUGAGGGUAUGUCUGCACUGCAGUCUUGGGGCGUGACUGCAGUUUGUGUAGACAUACCCAAGCUAGCUUUAAUUUAGGUACUAGAUCAGUGAACCCACGGUAGUGCGAGCUUUACAAGCCUCCCUGGAACCCUGGCUAAUUACUCUGGCAGCUAGCAGAAGCCCACACCACGCUUUGAUUCUCCUAGCUGCACUUCCGUGUCGCUCGGGUGUGCCUGCGCGAGCUGCAAUCACACUUGAUAAUUGCAGUGUAGACGUACCCUUAAUCACGUGCUUAACAGCUUUGCUGGGACAGGGCCAGAAUUGGCCCGAUAGUUGUCACGUGCAGAGUAAUUUCUGGUGUAAUGCUGAAUCCCUACCACACUGCAAGUGGAAAUUAUGUGAGCACAGGUGAGAAAAUGAACUUCAUGAAGGUUGAUUUUAGGGUUCCUGCACUGUGAUCAAGCGUCGUGUGCCAUGAUCAGCAUCGUUCUGACUGCACGGGAUAGAUAGGCCUGUGUAGUAAAGAUGAGGAGAAAACCGAAAACAAGCCCUGUGUGCAUUUCUUGUAGGGGUGUGAUUCUCCCUCUGUUGGUAGCCUCUCUCCCUCUCCAUAGAACUCUUUUUUUUUUUUUUUUUUUAAAGCAACUUUUCUUUUAAAAAGCCUAUUAAAGGCUACUUUGAUAUUUGAGUUUGGUUCGGCCGUAUAUAAGAAACGUAUACGGUCUGCUGCCUCAUAGCCCCACCGAGGUGCAAACUGCUGUGAGAUUCUGACGGGAGAGAUUUUCAUUGCUGAGCCUUAUAAAAAGGACAGCUCAAUUAAAAGCAGAAGUCGCAGGUUUGGGGUGGGUAUCUAGGCUGAUAAAGCUUCUGCUGAGAUUUCUGAACUUAAAGAUAGAGAUGACCUCGUAUCCCUUUCUGCCAGUGCAGAGUUAUUCCACACUGUAUCUGUUUGAGGUCUUUGUGUAAUCCAGUUUCACAGGUCUCCAGUGAUUGGGUUUCUACAACUUCCCUUAGGAGACUAGUCUGUCGUCUGGCUCCCACUUCAGAGUUUUACGUGAUGUUAGACACCAUUUCCAGUUCCAUGAUUCAUCCCGUUUCUUCUUAUAUCAAUAUAAAUAAUGCCUCUUCUUUGUUAGUGUUGAUGGCUUUCAGAGACAUGGAGGCUGUUCCCAUGUUCAUGCCCUUAGUGUGGAUUCAGCCAAGCUAUAUGUCAUUAAGCUCCAAUCCUGCGAACACUUACAUGCAUUACUUUCUACGCACGUGUAGUCCCAUUGAGCUGUUGAAUGGGACUACACAUGCACCUAGUCACUCACAUGCAUAAGUGUUUGCGGUAUCAGCUAGUGAGUCCAGCAAUACCCAGGUUCAAGGAAAGAAGAAAGUUAUGUUUGAGUUUCCCAUGCAGCCGCAGAAUGUUUAAAUUGUCAGUCCUGAGCCUUUUCAAAUGCACAAUUGCAUUUCUAGUCAGAUUGAGUUUGUAAAACCAUUUUUUGUUACUUUAAGCCCCCAAAUGUAG